UCUCUUCAACAAUUCAGAGUUCCUUUCCUUCUUCCUUAAAACGUACAAAAACAAUACCCUCAUCUUUUAUUAGCAAUGGCCUCAGCAGCAGUAGCCAACUAUGAAGAAGAGAUUGUUCGUCCCGUUGCCGACUUCUCCCCUAGUCUUUGGGGUGAUCAGUUCCUUUCAUUCUCCAUUGACAAUCAGAUUGCGGAAAAGUAUGCUCAAGAGAUUGAAGCACUGAAGGAACAAACGAGGAGUAUGCUGUUAGCAACCGGAAGGAAAUUGGCCGAUACAUUGAAUUUGAUUGACAUUAUUGAACGCUUUGGCAUAGCUUACCACUUUGAGAAAGAAAUUGAUGCGAUUUUGGAUCAGAUUUACAACCAAAACUCAACAUUUGAUGAUUUCUGCACUUCUGCACUCCAAUUUCGAUUACUCAGGCAACAUGGUUUCAACAUCUCUCCUCAAAUUUUCAGCAAAUUCCAAGAUGAAAAUGGCAAAUUCAAGGAGUCUCUAGCUAGUGAUGUCUUAGGAUUAUUGAACUUGUAUGAAGCUUCACAUGUAAGGACCCAUUUUGACGACAUCUUUGAAGACGCACUUGCUUUCUCCACUUUCCAUCUUGAAUCUGCAGCUCCAUAUAUGAAAUCUCCACUUAGGGAGCAAGUGACACAUGCCCUUCAGCAAUGUUUGCACAAGGGCGUUCCUAGAGUCGAGACCCGAUAACUACUGAAAAAUUGGUCUACGGUAACGGUUGACAAACCGUUCCCACAGACUGCCAAACCGUUGCCAUAGGGAUUUUGGAACGGUUUAUAGACCGUCAUUUCAGCCGCCGUACCCAUAGGUCUAUUGGAACGGUUCUUGCAACGGUUUGCAUCGCCAUGACAAUAGAUACGUCUAUCGCAACGGUUUUCCCUUUCUCUAUUGGAACGGUUAUUUUUUUCAAUUGUUACGGUUUUAAACUGUUACUAUAUUGUUUAUACAACGGUUUUUAACCGUUGCCAUAUUAUGUAAAGCAACACUUAUGUAAGCUAUUGCUGCGAUUAUGUUGGAUAUAGCAACGGUUUCUUUAAGCUA